ACUUGGGCAGAAUACUUGAGUCAGCACCUAGGACCAGUUCUGGAUCGGUUCAGAGAGGGCUCAAAAUACCAUAUUUAUUUUCAUGCUGAACGAUUACUUCCAAACCAUGGAUUGAUUUCACAUCAUUUUCUUGCUUUGAGGGUCACUUGUAGUCCAGGAAUUGGAGUUACAGGGAGCUUGUUCUCCUCUCCCAUCAUCUUCCUCUCAUCUCAUAUUGGUUGUGGUGUCAUGAAUUGGAGACGCAGACAGAAGCAAGUCCAGGUAUGGCAGUUUAAUUAAACAACAACAAGUACGAAGGAUAAGGCAGAAGUCAAUAAUCAUAAUAGGCAGAGUUCAGGUGAUCAGGAAAAGAGAACAAACAGGACAGGGCAAAGAGAAGAGGUCGUAAAUGUGAGUAAAGUCAAAAAACAGAAUAAACAGACACGGUAUAAAAGCUUGGUAUAGACAGAGAAUAUUUGAUAUUGAUAUUUAAUGUUUGCUCCAAGUGGCCUUUCCUGUCAUAUAUUACAUAGAGUAAUCACUACUGCUGUAUGGACCAAUAGCUACAUCACCUGUAACGUGCUCUUGUGUUUUUAAAGCUCAUCUGAAUAGUAAGAUUCAUUUGAUUGCUUGUUCUGCUAAAAGCUGGUAAGUUGUCUGACCUGAGACCUGACAGCAAGUGAUUAAGGAGCAUCAAAUAUAAAUCAAAUACUGCAUUCUUUGAUCCAGUGUGCGCUCACUAGCUGCCUGUCUGGUCUUUAAGUUGUACCGCCAGCUGACUGCUGAGAACAAGAAGUUCAAUCAUAAACUAUGGCACCACUAGUGAAAAAAAGGCUCCGUUUUGUCACCUGGAACACACGUGGCAUUAAAAGCCCACCACAAAAGUUUUCAGAUUUGUUGAGCAGCCUCAUUUCCCUAAAGGCUCAUAUUGCCUUCAUACAAGAGACAUGUGUUGGGCCAACAUGUUAACAAAUCUUGGAUGUUGAAAACUGGAAUGUCUACUUCACUGUACACAGCUCUCGCAGUAAAGGAGUGGCAAUACUGAUCAGCUAUGAUGGACCAUUUGAGUACAUUUGCCAUGAUGAGGAUUGCAGUGGAGGUUACAUUGUGCUCUUCAGUCAUCUGUAUGGUGAACUGUACACUCUUGUUAAUGUGUUCAGUCAUAAGGCAGACAAAAAUGUCUUGGCUAGAUUGAAAGACUAUCUGAGGGAAACAGCUGAGGGUGUGCUAGUGGUUGGAGGUGAUUUCAACACUGUUUUGGAUCCCAGCUUUGAUCGGGUAUCUUCAGCUGUUCUCACAAAACAGUCUUCACUAAGAGCUAUUUUAGAAGACUUUACUAUUUCUUUGAAUCUCAGAGACACCUGGUCAUACCUUCACUCUGUUGAUGGAGGCUUUACACGACGUCAGAAUGAGAGUCACUCCAGGCUGGACAUGUUUUUCAUGUGCAGCGAUGCAAUGGGACGGGUGUGUAGUAGCAAAAUACAGAGCAAUGAAAUUUCAGAUCACAAGCCUCUUGUCCUAGAACUCAAAGUGCAGCAACAGACUGGAAAUAUAAUUCCAAAGGUAGCCUUGUUUUUGAAGGAAAUUAGAGUUGAUGAAGAACCUGACAGGAGAUCAGGGAAGAUUAAUGGGGCAGAAAUACUGAGUUCCAUCAAGACUUUGAUUGACUCCAAUCAAAGACUUGAUACAAUGGAUGUGGAUUACUACAAAAAGUUUUGUUGUCACUUGACUGAGACCUUAAAGAGAAAGUAUAACUUCAUGUUAAAGAAUAAGCAGGUACCUGAAGCUUAUUAUUCAGGAGACAUUUUCAAUGUUGACUGUUUGAUAUUUUCAGAAAUAUUGGCCAAGCGCCUUAGUGUGAAAUUAGGUGGUCCUUCCUGGAACAAACCCUCAGGAGACUAAAACAGAUAUCAUCUGUCCCUCCACUAGACUUCAGCAUUCUGGACUGCCUUUUUCCCAAAGUCCAAAACUUUUCAGGAGCGCUCAGACGUCUGCGGCCUGGCAUUCCCGUCACCAACGCUAUCCUCAAUCUAGCUCUGACACAGCUAGAAGAUCUGAUUCUCAGAAGUGAAACAGAGUGCAGGACCAGUGUUUCCUUUCACAGACAGGCACUGGUUAUACAUGCAGACCAGAGCAAACGGGGGAAAGUUGUUAGGGUACUAGAGAAAUUCCAGGACGACUCAGGAAUUAGGCUUACAGAAUGCCACAUAAUAGAUUGAAAUGAUUAAAGCACAAGUGUAGAAAACUAGACACAAUCAGAAGGAAAGGGUGAUCAGGAGCUGGAACUUAUUAAAUGCUAUACACAUUUUAUUAUUAUUAUUAUUAUUAUUAUUAUUAUUAGUAGUAGUAGUAGUAGUAGUAGUAAUAGUAAUGUUAUUAUUGUUUUACUAUAUUACCACAGUUUAAUUUUACACUAUACUUAUAUAUCAAGCAGAUUAUAAAAUACUUUAUUGUUGUACAGAUUUAGAGACUGGGAUGCAAGCACGGAUGUUUUUGUUUAAUACUGGGCAUAAUGAACAGCUUGCUAAUACUUGUGGGGAUGUUUGCCAAGUUUUCAAAACUAUACAGAAAGACAUGAAACUCAUCCCAAAAUGUUCAGGCAUAGGACUAGGUACAAGUAUUCUCCCUCUUUUUCUUGGUCUUUUUCAGGAAAAACAGUUAACAGUGGUCCACGUUUAUGAUUUCAGUAUCUAUCUUCAAUACAUAACAUAUACGGAACUUGGCAACAAUGUUCAUGGAACUUUAGAAAAGAGCUACUUCAUUUUUUUUACUAAUGGGAAGUUGAUUUUAGUUGAAAUCCUGAACUCCAAAAUAUAAUUAUAUUUCUAGCAUAUUUCUAUUUUUUUUAAAAAUCAUUCAUUGAACUGUUGUUCCUUAUACUGUAGCUCACACACCAUGCACAGUGCACAGAGAUGCACAUCUCUCUCAACAGAAUUAAUAAUUUAAUAUUGUAUUAAAAAUGUAUUUUAAAUAAUAUGUAAAAUAUUCUAAAACUUGUACAUUAAUUGUGCAUGUUUUUGUUGUUCUUAAAUAAUUGUUAUCCAAAUUUAUUGAAAGAAAUUGUUUACAUAAAUUCAUACGGUCAUUAUAAUGAAAUGCUUUGCAAAUAAUCCAAACAAUUUUGACUCAAGCAGCACUGUAAGGGUAUUCAAGUUUUAUAGUAGGUUCUCACAUUUCCAGCAAACUCUUCUGAUUUUUCUGCAAUGCAACAAACCCAAAAAUGGCAUUGGGAGACACACCAAAUACAGCCUCUGGAUGGGACACCAGUUCAUCAUAGAGCACCAUGCAGACAAACUUUUACAGGAUCAUUCAUACCUAGAGACAAUUUAGAAUAGCCUCCUGGCAAUGUGAGGACACCAGGGAACCCAGAAAAAAAAACCCAUUUGGAAACAGGGAGAACAUGCACAUGAGAAACUCCACACAGACAGUAACCUGAGCUCAGGAUUGAAUCAUGGACUGUGAAGAUGUAAGGAGGAAAUGCUGUGUGCUGAGUCACUUGUUUUAUGCCUUUCAUUAUUAUUUUGUUCAAUACUGUAUUUUCUUUGCAUGUGGGCAAUUCUGUAGUAAUUACAUGCUACAUGCAUAUUUGGGAUUUGCCUUUUAUUUUUUGGGAUUAAAUGAUAGUCAUUUGGAAUGCAUUUCAUUUCAUAAAAUCUUGGGUCCAUCUAUUGGCCGUUUCAGGAAUGACCACAUACUGUAUAAGGGCGCACUGGUACCACAGUUAGUCAUUAAAGUCCGGCAUCAAGUUCUGGCAUCUCUAGAUCCAGAAUUAAAACAGAUUCAGAAAAUUAUCAAGGGUUUUAGACGCUGUCUACAGUUACUUAUACUGAGAGUCACUUCAUGAGCUCACAUUACUGGAUUCAACUCUAUUCUAUAAGGACAUAUACUUGUAUCUAUUAACAGCAACAAGUAUAAAUGGUAGCAAUUUGACAGUAAUAGUAGAUUUGGUGAUCAUGAUAUAUACAUAAACUGUGGGUUUUUUGUUUAGUUUUUUGUUUUUGUUUUUAGCCCUUGUUUAGUCUAGUAGUAUUUAUUUUUACAUUUAAAUUACAUAUACAUUAUAUACAGUACAUUCAAAUUAUUUUUUUUUGUUAGUAAGAUGUAUUUUGUUGGAUUUACUGACUCACACUGGAUGAGAUGUCUCAUUCACCUCCCACAUGAUAUAUUAAUCUUUAAAAUUCUCCAUCAAAUUAGAUUAGAUUCACCAUUAAACGAGCUAUAUAGUAAGGUUUUAUACAUUAGUUAGUUUGUUAGCUAGCUAAUUAAGAUUUGCAAUUUUUCUUGUUGAAUUAGCUAGCUAGUUCUUUUUUUCAUUUUUAUUGUGGCUUAGCAUUCAUUUCAAAAGAGUUAUUAAACAAAGGUAGUUUUUUUUUCCUGAUAACUAAUUUCUUAGUGAACCAGCUUAAUGCUUAAUUAAUCAGGUGUGAUGAACUUUUGGUCAGCUCUUUUAAUCAGUUAAAUACGUAUUACUCUUUAGACAUUUGAUUUUAACUCAGUGGAUGUUUACCUCUAUACAGUACUCCGUGAGUAAGGGUUGGGUCCAAGGGUUGGAAUGAUAUUAAAACAAGACAUGACAGGCACAAGGACUGAGUAAAUGGGCUUACUCCAGUAGUUCUGGAGGAAACUGCACUGGCAGUUCAGAAUGUAAAUGUAAUGAUGUGUAAAACUUGAAUGUAAAACUAUGAUAAUAAAAAUAUUUGUAAAUAUUGAUAUAAUGUGUUUGUAACAUUAAACACUAGAUCAUUAGCACUGUGAUCUCCAGUUACAGUAUAUACAAUAUGUGCAGUUGUAAAAUUGUGUUAACAAAUGUGUGUAAGGCAUGAAUUCAAUAGUUAUAGAUUUAUUUGCAGUACCUAUAAUAAAAUAAAGGCUGAUCUAAAUAUUUUCAAUCUAUCAGUAGUUACAUCUCGGUUUCCUGUGCAGGUUAAUACAAUUUUAAUUGAAUAAAAUGUGCACAUUUAUCUUUGGCUACAUCUUUGCACAAUGUAUGACCAUG